AGAGUUUGAUCCUGGCUCAGAUUGAACGCUGGCGGCAGGCCUAACACAUGCAAGUCGAACGGUAACAGGAAGCAGCUUGCUGCUUCGCUGACGAGUGGCGGACGGGUGAGUAAUGUCUGGGAAACUGCCUGAUGGAGGGGGAUAACUACUGGAAACGGUAGCUAAUACCGCAUAACGUCGCAAGACCAAAGAGGGGGACCUUCGGGCCUCUUGCCAUCGGAUGUGCCCAGAUGGGAUUAGCUAGUAGGUGGGGUAACGGCUCACCUAGGCGACGAUCCCUAGCUGGUCUGAGAGGAUGACCAGCCACACUGGAACUGAGACACGGUCCAGACUCCUACGGGAGGCAGCAGUGGGGAAUAUUGCACAAUGGGCGCAAGCCUGAUGCAGCCAUGCCGCGUGUAUGAAGAAGGCCUUCGGGUUGUAAAGUACUUUCAGCGGGGAGGAAGGCGAUAAGGUUAAUAACCUUGUCGAUUGACGUUACCCGCAGAAGAAGCACCGGCUAACUCCGUGCCAGCAGCCGCGGUAAUACGGAGGGUGCAAGCGUUAAUCGGAAUUACUGGGCGUAAAGCGCACGCAGGCGGUCUGUCAAGUCGGAUGUGAAAUCCCCGGGCUCAACCUGGGAACUGCAUUCGAAACUGGCAGGCUAGAGUCUUGUAGAGGGGGGUAGAAUUCCAGGUGUAGCGGUGAAAUGCGUAGAGAUCGGAGGAAUACCGGUGGCGAAGGCGGCCCCCGGACAAAGACGACGCCAGGUGCGAAAGCUGAGCCCCCU
rnacentral:rRNA from 1 species